rnacentral:rRNA from 1 species
GGUUGAUCCUGCCAGUAAUCAUAUGCUUGUCUUAAAGACUAAGCCAUGCAUGUUUAAGUAUAAGCACUAUUAUAGUUAAACUGCGAAUGGCUCAUUAAAUCAGUUACAAUUCAUUUGAUCGUGUCUCUACUACUUGGAUAACUGUAGUAAUUCUAGAGCUAAUACAUGCUUAAAGGCUCGACUCGUUCACACGGGAAGAGUCGUAUUUAUUUGUUAAACACAAGACCAUUAUGGUGAUUCAGGAUAACUGUUACGGAUCGUAUUGUCAAGCACAGACGACGUUUCAUUCAAUU